rnacentral:lncRNA from 1 species
AUCGGGGAUAUCAAUAAAUAAGUUUUCCUUCAUUUCAACGUAUUGUGUUAAAUACACCAAAGCCUGUAUGUUGAAGCUUGUAUGUUGAAGCUUUCUGAGUGGAGCAUGUAGGUUGGGGUAGUGUUCCCUGAAUUUUUCGAGUGAGGAAAACUUCUCGGUUGGAGACUUGGAAAAUCCAAGUCACUGAGUGGGAUCGGCUAUAUGAAUCUUAGAACGCCAUUGUGCUCGGUCCUGUGUCAUGUCCUUCGUUAAAUCCAAGUACUCUAAGUCUUUUCUUAGAGUCUCUUCCAAAGUUUUCUUAGGUCUUCCUCUACCCCUUCGGCCCUGAGCCUCUGUCCCAUAGUCGCAUCUUCUAAUCGGAGCGUCAGUAGGCCUUCUUUGCACAUGUCCAAACCACCGU